CUUGAUGAUAUGUAUGAGACGCGUAGGGUAGAUGUGCGUAAGGGUAGAGAUGGUAGAUUUGUUAGUAGAUCUGGCACAUCUUCUGCGUCCACUGUGUCUGCGGUAAGCAAAAAACGGCCGAGGGCCGUUAAUGAAUCUUGGGUAGUGAGGGGUGAGGUGGCUGGGGACCUGUAGACGGGAGUGUGAUUCCUAGCUUUCUAGGACACAUCGCUACCCGUAUCUGGGAGGACCUGGAGAGGGCUUUGGAUACAAGCAUUUUGAAAUGCCAAACCCGGAAAAAGACUUGUAACUUUUUGUGUAGUUGGGUUGAUGCUUGGCCGGAGGAGAGCGAGAUGGUUGGCCUAUUGAGGGGCACUAGAGUGAGUCACCUUCCUGCCACCAUGCACGAAAGGAUUGACUCGACGCUGAUCACGGCUUUCGUUGAGCGAUGGCAGCCGGAUACGAACUCUUUCCACCUUCUGCUCGGUGAGAUGACAAUCAUGUUGCAUGACGUCGAGGCCAUCCUUGGGAUUCCCGUAGAGGGAAACCGAGCAUCUGUUGUCACUGAUGCGGAUCAGGCAGAUUUACUAGCGGAGAUGUUGGCGGUGGAUAGGGCUGCGCUGUACACAGCGGCACUUGGUGUGUGGGAUCACGACGGUGUUAAGAUCGUAGCCGUUUUGCAGCGAUGUUUGCACCCGGCCCACUGCACGUAGGACGCAGGACACACAACUGGCUGCAUUUGUUUUUCUUCUUCUCGGGUGUACCUUGUUUCCGGAUAAGAGCGGAAACAAGCUCAGGCCACGCGACAUAGUUGACGCGUGUGAGCCCGACAGAGUAGGCCAGUUUUAUUGGGGGUCGCUACGUUGGCGUAUAUGUAUCGGCAAUUAGGAUUCUCAAGUCGGACUGAUGCGGCAGGUAUCACUGGAUGUCUGACGUUGUUACAGACCUGGAUAUACGAGUAUUUUCCUGCAUUUCGACCACACCGCAACCCAGUUCCUAUUGGGGAUGGCCAGCCACGUCCCUGUGCGUGGAGUCCGCGAGUCGAGAAGAAGUCCAUUGACCGCCUGCGAUCGAUACGGUUAUCGUUUGAUAGGAUGUCCCCAUUAGAGGUGAACUGGAUGCCUUUCGGCCAAAACCCUAGUAAUAGGGUACCUAGGACCCUGUACACAGGACUGAUUCAGUAUCGUGAGAUCGUAGAGGCGUACAUGCCGCAGCGCUGUCUUCGCCAGCUUGGAUUUGUCCAAGUUGUUCCUCCUCCACCAGCAUGGCCUAGUAAGGAGGUCCGAUUUGCAUCGUCGAAGGAGUACGUCGUCCAAUGGCCGGAAAGCAUGAUUGCCACGUGGGAGCAGUUUUCGAUGGUUGCCCGCAUAUGGAUUGAGCAGCUGCUGCGGCCGCUAACUAGGGUGACUGCCAUGUGUGACUAGCACUACAUGGAGUGGUACAACCGACACUCGCACCCGAGGUUGAUCAGAGACCUCCACCAUGGCGACGACGCCGAUGAUGAUGAUGUGCCACCGGCCACUACCGUGGAUGCGUGGAUGAGAAAGAUGAUGCAGGUGGCACACAUAAUUUUUGAAAAAAAGAGACGGAUGCAUUAGGCAGAACCACGAUUGAUGAUAUGGAACGGGCUCUUGAGCAGUGGCAGUGGGCGUCACAAAGGGAUUACUAAAUGAACAUUUUGUACAGUAUCAUAGUUGUUUGUAAAAGUUGACAUUAUCUUUUUAGUUUGUAACAUUUGAAAUUUUUAUUUUAAGUUUUUAGAAUUUGACAUUAUCUUUUUAGUUUUUAAAAUUAUUAUUUUAAG